rnacentral:lncRNA from 1 species
GGGGGACGAAUUAAGACAUUGCCCAAACUCUCAACAUCUGGAAACUUCUCCAUCCUCCUCCAUAAAGUGAAUAAAUCUGAUCUGGGUCUGUACCGCUGUGAACUGUUUAAUGAAACCAACUGCAGCAUCGGUUAUCAGGAAAUCCAACUUGGUCUUUCUACUGUUUGUCCUUAUUUCUACCAGACCUCCAUCAUAGCAGGAACAUCGGGAGGAGCAGUUCUUCUUCUGCUCAUAAUAUUACUCUUCUACAUCAGGAAAAAACGUGAGUCUUCUUUCAGCAUAUUUUAUUAUUUAAUCUGCCGUAUUUACACAACUAAUAC